rnacentral:telomerase_RNA from 1 species
GACGGCUUUGGGUAGGCUGCUCGGUUCUCACCGCGCAGUCAGACGCAACCCUGACGCAACCUUUAGUUAGAAUUGGUGUAAAUGGUGAUUAUGUAAGCCGUUUCUCCGAUCUCUACGAAACUGUUGGGUUUAAUUGUUUUCGUACAGUUUAAAAAACGAAACAAUGUAUGUCAGGGAGCCUACCCCCAUUUUUUU